rnacentral:rRNA from 1 species
UCGUAGAGGGGGGCAGAAUUCCAGGUGUAGCGGUGAAAUGCGUAGAGAUCUGGAGGAAUACCGGUGGCGAAGGCGGCCCCCUGGACGAAGACUGACGCACAGGUGCGAAAGAGUGGGGAGCAAACAGGAUUAGAUACCCUGGUAGUCCACGACGUAAACGAUGUCGACUUGGAGGUUGUGCCCUUGAGGCGUGGCUUCCAGCGCUCACGCGUUAAGUCGACCGCCUGGGGAGUACGGCCGCCAGGUUAAAA